UACGUAGGGUGCAAGCGUUAAUCGGAAUUACUGGGCGUAAAGCGUGCGCAGGCGGUUUUUGUAAGUCAGAUGUGAAAAUCCCCCGGGCUUAACCUGGGAACUGCGUUUGAAACUACAAAGGCUAGAGUGUGGCAGAGGGGGUGGAAUUCCACGUGUAGCAGUGAAAUGCGUAGAGAUGUGGAGGAACACCGAUGGCGAAGGCAGCCCCUGGGUUAACACUGACGCUCAGGCACGAAAGCGUGGGGAGCAAACAGG
rnacentral:rRNA from 1 species